rnacentral:rRNA from 1 species
AGAGUUUGAUCCUGGCUCAGGAUGAACGCUAGCGGCAGGCUUAACACAUGCAAGUCGAGGGGCAGCGGGGAGUAGCAAUACUCCGCCGGCGACCGGCGCACGGGUGCGUAACGCGUAUGCAACCUACCUUUAACAGGGGCAUAACACUGAGAAAUUGGUACUAAUUCCCCAUAACAUUCGAGAAGGCAUCUUCUUGGGUUAAAAACUCCGGUGGUUAAAGAUGGGCAUGCGUUGUAUUAGCUAGUUGGUGAGGUAACGGCUCACCAAGGCGACGAUACAUAGGGGGACUGAGAGGUUAACCCCCCACAUUGGUACUGAGACACGGACCAAACUCCUACGGGAGGCAGCAGUGAGGAAUAUUGGUCAAUGGCCGAGAGGCUGAACCAGCCAAGUCGCGUGAGGGAUGAAGGUUCUAUGGAUCGUAAACCUCUUUUAUAAGGGAAUAAAGUGACCCACGUGUGGGUUUUUGUAUGUACCUUAUGAAUAAGGAUCGGCUAACUCCGUGCCAGCAGCCGCGGUAAUACGGAGGAUCCGAGCGUUAUCCGGAUUUAUUGGGUUUAAAGGGUGCGUAGGCGGUUUGAUAAGUUAGAGGUGAAAUACCGGGGCUCAACUCCGGAACUGCCUCUAAUACUGUUGAACUAGAGAGUAGUUGCGGUAGGCGGAAUGUAUGGUGUAGCGGUGAAAUGCUUAGAGAUCAUACAGAACACCGAUUGCGAAGGCAGCUUACCAAACUAUAUCUGACGUUGAGGCACGAAAGCGUGGGGAGCAAACAGGAUUAGAUACCCUGGUAGUCCACGCAGUAAACGAUGAUAACUCGUUGUCGGCGAUACACAGUCGGUGACUAAGCGAAAGCGAUAAGUUAUCCACCUGGGGAGUACGUUCGCAAGAAUGAAACUCAAAGGAAUUGACGGGGGCCCGCACAAGCGGAGGAACAUGUG